GCCCCCGUAGCUCAGGUGGAUAGAGCAACGGUUUCCUAAACCGUGUGCGGCGGUUCGAGUCCGUCCGGGGGCG
rnacentral:tRNA from 1 species